AUACGGAGGAGGCAAGCGUUGUUCGGAAUUAUUGGGCUUAAAGAGCGUGUAGGCGGCCAAGUAAGUGUCUUGUGAAAUCCCUAGGCUCAACCUAGGAACUGCUCGGCAUACUGCUUGGCUUGAGGUCGGUAGAGGUGACUGGAACUCUAGGUGGAGCGGUGAAAUGCGUAGAUAUCUAGAGGAACGCCGGAGGCGAAAGCAGGUCACUGGGCCGAUUCUGACGCUGAGACGCGAAAGCGUGGGUAGCAAACAGGAUUAGAAACCCCGGUAGUCC
rnacentral:rRNA from 1 species